rnacentral:lncRNA from 1 species
GAGCUGCGGAGCCGGCCGCACGCCCGCUCCCGAGCUGUCGCGCCGCCGGGCCGCCGCGGCCCCUUCUUCCCGCGCUCAGAGCUCAGGCCAACAGCCUGCGCCCCUAGUCUGAUUAUGAAAGGGAAAGUGACGCUUUCACCAGGCAGCUCCGAGGCCGGGAGCUUUUGUUUGGGAAGGAAUGCAAAAGGCUUUAUUCACUCCCCCACGUCCCAGGCCUAAAGAGAUGAGAGUGAGGGCUGGACACGCUUUGAAAGCGCCUCGGAUCUUGCUCUUUAUUCCCUGCUUCCUCCCCUUUCUGAAAUCGUGCGGCAGCCAUUGUCGCAGCUGCUCGGGGGUAGGGGUGGCGGCUGCGGCUGCUUAUGUAAGUUUGGCUUUGCGGGAAGCCCCACUCCCUGCUCCAUACGGGCGACUCUGGGUGCUCGCGAUUUGGGGAGCAGUUGCAAAGGGGCAGCUUUAUUGUGGAGGUGUAGUUGGGGGCUACAUCUUUUCUUGCACUUACCCACAUAAAUACUGGCAAUGGCUGUCUUCCGGUUUGACUCAUCUGAACUUAGCAAUUGGAACAUCUCUAUAGAAAAAAAAUGAGCCAGUGAACACAUGGUCUCUCCUUUCAGGUCCUCAAGAGAUCUUGAGGAGGGGGACAGCCAAAUACACACUAGCCACAAAAGGAAAACAUAUGCGCACACACAGGACACACAUGGACACUGUAUGACCCGUGCACUUUUAUUUUCUAAGCCCCAAGAGUUACAUCAGUAGGAAUUGACAGGGUAGGAAACUUCUCCCUGGACUGCCCUCUCUCUGGGGGUGACUGUAGUCCCUGGGGACCCUAAAGAACAGGGAGCAAAAUGGUCAAGUAAGAAGCAUCCUUAGAAAUAAUUUUGCCCAGCCUUCACACUGCAGAUGAGACCCCC